GACGAACGCUGGCGGCGUGCCUAAUACAUGCAAGUAGAACGCUGAAGGAGGAGCUUGCUUCUCUGGAUGAGUUGCGAACGGGUGAGUAACGCGUAGGUAACCUGCCUGGUAGCGGGGGAUAACUAUUGGAAACGAUAGCUAAUACCGCAUAAUAGUAGAUGUUGCAUGACAUUUGCUUAAAAGGUUCAAUUGCAUCACUACCAGAUGGACCUGCGUUGUAUUAGCUAGUUGGUGGGGUAACGGCUCACCAAGGCGACGAUACAUAGCCGACCUGAGAGGGUGAUCGGCCACACUGGGACUGAGACACGGCCCAGACGCCUACGGGAGGCAGCAGUAGGGAAUCUUCGGCAAUGGACGGAAGUCUGACCGAGCAACGCCGCGUGAGUGAAGAAGGUUGUCGGAUCGUAAAGCUCUGUUGUAAGAGAAGAACGAGUGUGAGAGUGGAAAGUUCACACUGUGACGGUAUCUUACCAGAAAGGGACGGCUAACUACGUG
rnacentral:rRNA from 1 species